AGAGACCCACGAUAUAGUCCUCCUACAACAUUAUGUGCUCUUCAUUAAGCUAACAGUAAACUGGCAGCUACCUGACUGGAACCAAAAAAAGACUCUUUAAAAUAUAUGCUGGCCACGGUGAUUUACCUCCAUUGUGUGGCUAAAUUGUACACAGUAAUGUACUGCAUUACGAUUUGUAAUGUGUAUUAAGAGUACAUGAACUUUAAUGAAUUGUUCUUUGCAGAGACCACUGACUAAGUUGACUGAAGCUGGUAGCAAUGCCUUUGAGGAGUGAAUCUUCUCUUGGGAUCACCAGAAAGUUCCAAACGGACAGUUUCCAUCACUGCUCAACAUUUUUCAAUACAUUUUAUAAUGCUCUAUUGCCACUGCCAGUUUUAGAGAAGAGUACAUCUUGAGAACUCUUGUUUGGAUCAAAUAAACUCAGUUGAACCAAAGAAUUGCAAGAGUUGCUGCCCACGUCCUGGAUGUGUGGUUGGCUGACUAAAGCUACAGUUCCCUAUGAGUGGUUGAGAUUGUAUUUUUUUUUUCCCUUCUACCCUAAAAUACACUUGAAGUAUUAAAAAAUUGUCUUUUGACAAUUUCUGGAGAGCAUUUGGCCAACUUUAGUAGUCCUGGUAUUGUAGACCACAAAAUGUAACUUAAUGUUGGGUGUUUUUUUUUAGUAAACUGGCAUAUCUGACGUUUUUUGAACGUCACUUGCAUUUUUUUAACUUAUGGUUCUGAAAAUUCUUAAUAUGCUCUUGAAUAUUGCCUGCUCAUGUUUGCGUCCAACAUACUCCGGUGCGAGAGGGGGCGACAUUUUAAACUGGUCGUGUAAUCCGCAGAUAAAACCGGCUGUUUGAAUGCAAAGAGCGGAAAUGUUCUUUGACUGGAGUAGCAUUUCUCGUGUGUCCGAAAGGUCUUAAGUGGGUAAAACUGUGAAAAUGAGCCAACUGGAGGAGCUAAAGUUGUUUGUGGCUGGGCGACUGCGAACUGCUACAUCCGAAAUCCUUGAUGUCAUCGACAAAACUAUAGAAGCGUACGAGCAAGAGGUCACCCGGCUGAAGGAGGAAAACAAGCGCCACUCGUCUCUGUUGGAGAUUAUCCUGAAGAAAAAGUUGCCAAAGAAACAAGGUUGUCAUGUAACCAACACUACAACUACAGAGGUUGCUGCAAAGCUUGUCACUGACUGCAGUAACGCUCCUGCUGUUAAAGAAGAAAAUUCUCCUUCUGACCCAUCUGCUCCAGACUCAGGAGUUAACAGCAAGACCCAAACAUCUACCUUUAGCGCCACUGUUGGGCAACAGACUGUCUUCAUCUCCAAAGAGCGCCUUCUCAGGUUUUCAACCAUGGAGAACUGUUUCUUCUGUUUCAAGCAAGUGCCUGCCUCAAAGCACCACCUGAUGAAAAGACAUUAUGAUAUAGCCGUCCAUUUUAUUCAGGAUGACAUUGAAAGAUUUGUGAUCCCAUGUAUGUGUUCUGACAAAGUUCAGGAAAGAAGUCACUGGCACUGUCCGUGCUGCGAGAAGGUCCUUAAUCGGAGAUGCAUCUUUAAAGUCCACCUAUCAAAACAACAUGGCAGGUUAUACUGUUCUGCAGACAAAACAAGGGUCAGGGAAUCAUCGUCUGCCUUACACUGUCAUGUUUGAAGAUGAAUCUUCGGGCCUCGAAGACUCCGAGGAAGAUGAGGAAGAGCUCAGCAGCAUGGAACAGCAGCAGGAAACGACUUCACCUCUGCUUCAAAUGAAAGAAAAAGCAGCAGGCCAACUUCUAAAUGUGGUGGAUGCCCAACAUUCUGGUAGCAGUCAACCACAGCAACACUGUCUAUACCUAAAUCAAGACCGUGGCAUGAACAUCUCCUUGAACACUCGCAUCCAAGAUGGAAGGGAAGUUAUUGUCGUGGAAAGUCGUCAGAAUAAUGGCUUUGGUAAAGUACUGGAUUCAGCUGGCAAAAUGCAGCAACCAAAUGAAACCGGUGUUGUAACGAAGGGCAAAUCCUGCAGCAAUACCAAGGAAUCUAUCCCGACCAAAUCAGCAUCAUCAAGUUCAGUUGACUUUAGUCCACCAAGCAAAAAGCAUGCAAAAAGUCAAUUAGCAGACCUAAAUCUGAGUACAGCGACAACAGAGUUAUCUGCCACUCAGAACCGUGAUGGGUCGUAUUACUGUAAGGCAUGUGGAGAAAUCUUCCAUUACUUCCACAAGCUAAAGACGCACGUGCAGAAACACGCAGGGGACAAAAUCUGUAUUUGUGGGGUUUGUGGGAAACGUUUGAUGCUCAGUGAAAGUCUACACCAGCACCUGCAGAACCACAACACCAAGAACGUUUGUGGGACAUGUGGUAAGCAGUUUUCAAGCCAGUCUCGCUUUCAGCAGCAUAAGACUUUUCAUAAAUCAAAGACUAAAUACAAAGUCUACAAUAUGAUCACACCUGGAUUCACGCAGGGCUUUGAAAAGUCUAAAAUUUGAAAAUCUUGUCCAACUGAAAACCCUUAAAACUGAAAUUGGUGCUAAAGGGCUUAAAUAUUAUAAGGUUGUGUAUGUAGAUAAGUGUUUUGUUGAGAAGAUUACUUAGGUUAAGAUAGCUGUUUUGAUUUAAUGGAGAGCUAAAUUGAUAAUUUUCAGUGGAUAAACAUGAAUCUUUAAAUUGAUAAAAAAGGCUUUCUUUUGUUAAAAUGUUAAUUUGAAUGUUUCUGGUAAUAUGUCAUGUUGGUCUUAGAUUUAAUUCAUGAUCGUCUUUAAAAGGUCUUAAGCUUAUCCUAGUGAAACCUGCAAGAACCCUGUUAAACAUGGCUGAAAUUCUCCAGGAAUCAAAUCUUCUAUGAUUGUUGUCCUUUAGCACCAUUGUUCUCAUAUGUUGUGCUCUAGUGAUAGAACCUAUACCCGACUGUAAUGCUUGUUCAGCAGUAUUCAUUCAAAUAAAUGUCAUAUAUAUAUAUAAUAUAGAAAUCAUUUAUAUUUGUUACAUAGAUUCUUAGAAUUUCAUACUGUCAUGUAGUGUGGAAAACUGAGUACACCUUUAAUGAUAGAAUUGCAUUGACAGUCAGUUUUUGGUUGAGACAUACAACUGUGUUAAAAAAUGCCAAUUCUGUAGGAUAUAGUUAAUGACCAGCUUCAAGUGUUGCUAACUAUUAAACUAAGUGGUUAUUGGGUUA